rnacentral:lncRNA from 1 species
UGGUCGCGUUCACCAGAAUAAUCCGAGUGCAAUCCGAUUAAUUUGCGCUGAAACGCUGACAGUUUUUUUACUAGUGAACGACUGACGUUUGACAUUCGAUUGAGAGUGUUCUGUGUUCCAUUUGUUUAUUUUUUUAUUCUUUGUUUAUAUAAUUUAUAACCUAGACAGUUUUGUUUUUAAAUAAAACUGAAACUGUGUCUAAGCUAAAAUGGAUAAUAUUCUUGAAGAAUUUUUGUUUGGGGACGAAAUUAGCAAAUGCCGUUAUACAUUUAGCAGAUGUACCUGCCUCACAAUUAUUCCAGAAGGAUGAGAUGAAAUUAAAUAUAUAUAAACCAUAAUUCAAUAUCCAAUUUAGAGAACAUUUUCGUAUGUCCAGAACUACUUUCCAGGAACUAUUUAAUUGUAUUGGUCAUAUCCACCAAUUUGAAAACAGAAUAAUUCUAUUGGAAAAAAUUAAUGUUUAUGAUGUGGAUGCUAAGUAAACCAGAGAAUUUGUUGCUGGGGAUACGUUUGGUUUGCCAAAGAGCUCUGGACAUAAGAUUUUCACCCAAAUAAUAUAGAAUUACAAAAAAUUGGAAAUAACUAAUCUUGAAUAUCAAUGUGUAUAUUGAGUUUAAUUUUAUUGUAAAUAUUGUAUUAACACAUUUGUGGACACAUCUUCAUAUGCAGACAGUAAUUUCCCUUUGUAAGUACAUGCAUAUAUAGUCGUAUCUACAAAUGGGUUAAUUGUAAAUCGUAAUCAAUAAAAAAAUUUUGUGAAUCAAUAAAAAA